CCCCAGGUGUAUCCCAGGUGUCUCCAGGUGUGUAUCCCAUGUCCCCAGGUGUAUCCCAGGUGUCCCCAGGUGUAUCCCAGGUGUAUCCAGGUGUAUCCC